UGGGGAAUAUUGCACAAUGGGCGCAAGCCUGAUGCAGCGACGCCGCGUGGGGGAUGACGGCCUUCGGGUUGUAAACCUCUUUCAGCAGGGACGAAGCGAAAGUGACGGUACCUGCAGAAGAAGCACCGGCCAACUACGUGCCAGCAGCCGCGGUAAUACGUAGGGUGCGAGCGUUGUCCGGAAUUACUGGGCGUAAAGAGCUCGUAGGUGGUUUGUCGCGUUGUUCGUGAAAACCGGGGGGCUUAACCCUCGGCGUGCGGGCGAUACGGGCAGACUAGAGUACUGCAGGGGAGACUGGAAUUCCUGGUGUAGCGGUGGAAUGCGCAGAUAUCAGGAGGAACACCGGUGGCGAAGGCGGGUCUCUGGGCAGUAACUGACGCUGAGGAGCGAAAGCGUGGGGAGCGAACAGGAUUAGAUACCCUGGUAGUCCACGCCGUAAACGGUGGGUACUAGGUGUGGGUUUCCUUCCUUGGGAUCCGUGCCGUAGCUAACGCAUUAAGUACCCCGCCUGGGGAGUACGGCCGCAAGGCU
rnacentral:rRNA from 1 species